rnacentral:tRNA from 1 species
GGUCGGCUGGUGUAGUGGUUAUCACGUCUCGUUCACAAAAGUUGGACUCAACUGGAGUAAUUCCACCGAGAAGGUGCCAGGUUCGAUCCCUGGGUCGAUCA